rnacentral:lncRNA from 1 species
GAGUUCAGCGACUGUGCACGAAGUUGGAGCAGCGAGGCCAGAGAGAGGGGCAUUAGUACCCGGAGCUGGCCGAGUUUCGUGACCCGGACUACGGCAGAGCCUACUUCUAGGGACCUCCAGACAGUCCUGGCGGUGGCCAUGAACUUGACCCCGUGCUCCUCCUGCCUGCAUCGCCCCGGGGCUCCGGUUGACCUGGUUCAUACCUGUUGGUGGAGAUGUUAGAGAGGAGUGGAGAUAAAAACUUGAUGAAGUCCGACACAGCUGGCUGGGAGUGAACCUGGAUGCUCCUAAGGACCCCCCAGGAAAGUAAGCACCUGGCAUGUGUAUCAGAAGACCCCCUAUGGCCUCACACACAGGCACCGGCUUCUUCUUGACAACUUCCCUGGGUGACUCUUAGAACUCAAUGGCCACGUCCAGCUCAGAGAUCAGAAGCAGCGCGCGUCCCAGAGCGCUACCAUAAUGAUGCCGUCCAGGUCCACAGUACAACCGGCUGCCUUGGUCAUUGCCGUAAUGACAGUACAUUCCAACUUCUCAAGGUAGGACAAUCCAGGGCAUGCUCUGGGAGGCCAGGAGUGACUGGAAGGCUCUGCUACCCCUGUGUUGGGGGGGGGGUGGAGGGCCCUUAAAAAAUGAGGAGAUAGCUCCAAGUAAAAAUCUUCUUGGGCAGCAGGGGGGGGGGGUUACUCGAUGCUAUGUAACUGUUCUUCUGCCUGGUCCUGCUAUCUCUCCACCAGGGUAGCAAGAAGCCAUGUAGAGAGACAAGCUGUCUCAUUUAGGAAGUUGGCCCUAAGCUUCUUCCCCUACAGCUUCCAGGCAGAAAACUCUGUCACCCUGAAGUGGUACUUGUUCAGGCCGUGCCCUCCUUCCAGAGACCCAGCAGAACGUUCACAAUUUACCGGCCCAGAUCAAUGCCUUCCCACUGCAGGGCUAGGACAGAGCCUCCUGGGAUCCUGGGAUAUAAGCUUCCUAGAACAGGAAACGGCUCCCAAGGAAGGGCAAGGCCCAUGGGGGAGUUGAUGAGGGGGGGUGGUUUGUCAGAGAGCAGACAGAGUCCCCAUGAUGUCACGUCUAUAGUCAAUUCCCACUCACCCUCCUAUGACCCAGAUGAGGCUUUGACUGAGAAUAUCUACAGAUGAACACAUAGCUUCGUGCUCAGAGCUGGUGACCUGUAGCCUAAAUGUCUAGCUCCGAGCUGAGUCCAGGGACCAGGGUCCCUGCACAGUGGCCUUUCCCUACUGUACUCCAGGCCUUCUGUGCUUUGCCCUAGGCAUAAGCCAGCAACUUCCUCAUGGCUUCUGAUCCUGUCCGUAUCAGACAGCUAUCUCGCUAGCUCUCCAGAGAAGGUCCAUGGCCAACUGACUUUGCCUCAGACCCUGUUUCUAGAUGGGGAGAGCUAGGCUCAGCUACAUGGGCCUCCUCAGCCAGCUGAGACCUUGAAUCUUCCUUUUUUUUUUUCUCUCCUGAGUUUUGCUAUGGACCCUAGAUUGAGGGGUAGGCAAGCCACCAGAGCACUGCAGACCCUGAGCUAAACAGAGCCGAGUGCAGAUCGGAUCCAGCAUGGGACCAUCAUGAGGUGUGUAAGGCUACAAGAGCCAGGUGGAAGGCAUAUCAAUGCCAGCUCUGGGUGUGACCCUGCGUAACUGGUCCGUGCUUGGAAGAGGGCACCCAAGCCUGUCCAGCACUCUGCCACACACCUGCCAGAGCGUUCCAGUCUGAAGCCAGGGGAGACUCCGCAAAGCCCAGGUCAUCUUCACUCAGAUGUGAUCUUUGUAGUGUCUAGGGGGCUUUUGCAUUAACCAUUUCUCUAAACCUCGCACAAAGUUACUUGUCUUGAUGAAUGAGAUUCUUGUUCACCCCCUAACAUGCCUGUCCUAGCUAGAUCCAAGAUGGUGCCCACUGGGCAUGGCCUGCCCCCUGGCAUGUCGACCCAUG